AAAGUCUCUGUCGUCCUUUGUAGUGCACAAUGUGGUCUUUGACAUAUGGAUCAAGAUGGAUGUUUUGCGUUGUUGGAUUUAAUAUGUAAAAGUAGCUCUCACAAAGAGGAAUUUUGUAUCAACUCUAUUGGGAUGGUUAAAGGAUCUCAUCAAUCUCCUCUUUCAAAACGAAUCAGACGUCGCAAGGUUUUACCUCCUUCUUAGUCCUAACUCUUCAAUUCUAGUAUUAUAUCCUAUCUUAUCUGCUAAUGGUUCGUGUU